AUUGAACGCUGGCGGCAUGCUUUACACAUGCAAGUCGAACGGUAACAGGCCGCAAGGUGCUGACGAGUGGCGAACGGGUGAGUAAUGCAUCGGAACGUGCCCAGUCGUGGGGGAUAACUGCUCGAAAGAGCAGCUAAUACCGCAUACGAUCUCUGGAUGAAAGCAGGGGACCGAAAGGCCUCGCGCGAUUGGAGCGGCCGAUGUCAGAUUAGGUAGUUGGUGGGGUAAAGGCCCACCAAGCCAACGAUCUGUAGCUGGUCUGAGAGGACGACCAGCCACACUGGGACUGAGACACGGCCCAGACUCCUACGGGAGGCAGCAGUGGGGAAUUUUGGACAAUGGGCGCAAGCCUGAUCCAGCAAUGCCGCGUGCAGGAAGAAGGCCUUCGGGUUGCAAACUGCUUUUGUACGGAACGAAACGGUCCGGGUUAAUACCCUGGGCUAAUGACGGUACCGUAAGAAUAAGCACCGGCUAACUACGUGCCAGCCGCCGCCGUAAAAC
rnacentral:rRNA from 1 species